rnacentral:lncRNA from 1 species
CUCUGAAAUUUAAAAAUAAGAAAAUCCCGUGCGAGCUAGUUCACCAGCGUGCUGUCCUCCCCGAUCCUCUCUUCUCUCCUUCCUCUGCCCAAUUCUCCACCCGCCGCCACCCAUCUCAUGCGCCCGUUCCGCGCCCCCCUGCUAUCAGGCCGCGCCGGCGCCCUGCUCCCCUCCUCCUCGACUGCCGCCGCCGUUAACCCGCUCCUCCUCCCCUACCCUCGGGCAGCGCCGCGCGCCCGCGAAAUGCUCCCGCUUUUCCUCGACCACCGCGCUCUACUCGAUCUCCUCCUCUACUGCUGUCUUGCUCGCUGGCUUUCUCAUCGAUCGAUCGCCGCCGCCCUGCUCCCCUCCUCCUCGAUUGCCACCGCCCUACUUCCCUCCUCCUCGACCACCGCCACUCCUCCUUCUGACUCGUCUCCCACGCUGAUUUGGUCGCGGUCUCCUCCCCCAAGUUAAUCCACGGUGACUCCUAUCGUACUCCCUCAUAUUCCUACGAAGAUCUGGUAACCACUCCAAGACGCAACAACUAUUAUCUUUAAUUUUGCAUCCAUUAUUCUGUUUUCCUAUAGAAAAAAAAAAUCAGAUGCAAGCAUUCAAUUUAGCACUACUAUGCAGUUUUGUUUACAUUUCCCCAAAUGAUCAAAUCUUUCAUAAAUGAACAAAUCGUAAAGUAGAAAUUCGAAGCAUUUAAUUUCAAUGUCACUGGGAUUCAGCACUCUGUUUUACUCAUCAGUUUGGUCAAACAGUUACCUUGUUCGGUCAUGAUGAUGAUCUUGUAAUAGACAAGCUGUUCUGCCCCC